CCCGCCCCCAGCCCACCUCCAACUGACAGAGCAGCAGUUGCAGUUUAGAAUUUUCAGUUGUCAGUGCCCAAAAUCUUUCUCAUUGAUAAUAGCAUUUUAUUUUAUUAUUUAAUCAUAACAUCGAUUUAAAAUAUGUUUUUAAACUAGCGGGUCUAACUGCCUAAAAGAAAGAGUUUUCACCGAGCUAGCUAACACAGCUAGUUAGCUAGCUAGCUCCUUUAGCUUGUCCACACAACAUGCAGUGUGACUGACCAAGGCAAGAAAUUCUUUGGUUAGUUAAUAUGUCAUGUAGCUACAGUACAGGUAUGUGUUAGAUGUAAUCUAAUUGCCAAAGCUAGCUAGUUAAUGUUAAAUGUUGCUUCCCAAGCAAUGCAUUGCUUGCUAGCUAGCUAGGUUUGUAGUGAGGGCUGGGUUUCUCUGACAGCAAUAUAGUUAGAACUGGCUAGUUAGCUACAUUAUUUCACGCUAAAAAUACAAAUCUUUCUGGUCUGGAGCCUCAACAGCUAAUAUAAGUUAGUAUGUUGUAUCAUUUAGCUAGUUAGCUCCUGAACAUUAACCCCUUAUUCUUCAUCUUGUGUGGAAUUGAUUUACUGACUCUAUGUCUAUGCAUUAUCCACGGGGUAAUUGCAAUUUGUGUGUCUGACGAUGGACAUCGGAGCUUAAGGAAUCUACAUGGGCAGUUGUCAACUUGUGAGCCUGUAAAUGGACACUGGAGGUUAAGGAAUCUGCAUUGACAGCAGUUGUCUAUAUCUUGCCAGAGCCACUCGUGCUCCCUUUGUGCAUAUGGAGCCAGGGACACACUGCCCGACCGGGGUAUUGGUCCCAGUAUGAGAUAAGGACUGGGCAGGGCCUCAGUGCCUGGGCAGAGGAUCAGUCAUUGGGCUUGAUGAUAGCUGGUGGCCAGGGAUUCCCUGGGUGGACUCUACCUACUAGACCCAGUUGUCUCUGACCCCUACUGGACUGUGUGAGCUGCCUGGAUGGGUGUCUGACCCAAAUAAAAGGGGCCUAUGCCCUAGAAACCGAGGCUGGUGUUUUUAAUGUGCAGUGUUGUGUGGAAAUGAACUAUUGUCUUAUACACUGAGAAAUGAAUUAUCUGUAUAUUAUCACAUACACUAUAUGGCCAAAAGUAUGUGAACACCCCUUCAAAUGACUGGAUUUGGCUAUUUCAUCCACAUCCGUUGCUGACAGGUUUAUACAGUUGAGCACGCAGCCAUGCAAUCUCCAUAGUCAUACAUUGGUAGUAAAAUGGCCCGAAGUGAAAAUAACUCAGUGACUUUCAAUGUGGCACUGUCAUAGGAUGCCACCUUUUCAACAAGUGAGUUGUUCUGCUAAGCUAGAGCUGCCCCGGUCAACUGUAAGUGCUGUUAUUGGGAAGUGGAAACGU
rnacentral:lncRNA from 1 species